CUAGACCAGUAGGUUAUUACACUAGACCAGUAGGUUAUUACACUAGACCAGUAGAAUGGAGGGAGAUCAUUAUAGAAUAGGUUAUUACACUAGACCAAUAGGUUAUUACACUAGACCAGUAGGUUAUUACACUAGACCAAUAGGUUAUUACACUAGACCAAUAGGUUAUUACACUAGACCAAUAGGUUAUUACACUAGACCAGUAGGUUAUUACACUAGACCAGUAGGUUAUUACACUAGACCAAUAGGUUAUUACACUAGACCAAUAGGUUAUUACACUAGACCAGUAGGUUAUUACACUAGACCAGUAGAAUGGAGGGAGAUCAUUAUAGAAUAGGUUAUUACACUAGACCAGUAGGUUAUUACACUAGACCAAUAGGUUAUUACACUAGACCAGUAGGUUAUUACACUAGACCAGUAGGUUAUUACACUAGACCAGUAGGUUAUUACACUAGACCAGUAGGUUAUUACACUAGACCAGUAGAAUGGAGGGAGAUCAUUAUAGAAUAGGUUAUUACACUAGACCAGUAGGUUAUUACACUAGACCAGUAGGUUAUUACACUAGACCAGUAGGUUAUUACACUAGACCAGUAGAAUGGAGGGAGAUCAUUAUAGAAUAGGUUAUUACACUAGACCAGUAGGUUAUUACACUAGACCAGUAGGUUAUUACACUAGACCAGUAGAAUGGAGGGAGAUCAUAAUAUAAUAGGUUAUUACACUAGACCAGUAGGUUG